rnacentral:lncRNA from 1 species
GACCUCAGGUGAUUCACCUGCCUUGGCCUCCCAGAGUGCUAGGAUUACAAGCAUGAGCCACCACGCCCAGCUGUUUUUACAUUUUUAAAUGCUUGAAAAAGAUUUGAUAAUUAUUUCACAACACACAAAAAUUAUAUAAAAUUCACAUUUUAGUGUCCACAAAAGAAGGUUCAUUGGAACACAGCCAUGAUCAUUGUCUAUGGAUGCUUUCCCAAUAGAACUGGAGUGGUAUCAUUGUAUAGAGACCUGCAGAACCUGAAAAAUUUAUUCUCUAGCCCUUUACAGAAAGUAUGCCAACCCUUGAGCCGGGCACGGUGGCUCACACCUGUAAUCCCAGCACUUUGAGAGGCUGAGGCAGGUGGAUCAUGAGGUCAGGAGUUCGAGACCAGCCUGACCAACAUAGUGAAACCCCAUCUCUACUAAAAAUACAAAAAUUAGCCGGGCGUGGUGCUGUGUGCCUGUAAUCCCAGCUACUCGGGAGGCUGAGGCAGGAGAAUUGUUUGAACCCGGGAGGUGGAGGUUGCAGUGAGCCGAGAUUGCGCCACUGCACUCUAGCCUAGGCAACAGAGUGAGACUCUGCCUCAAAAGAAAAGAAAAAGAAAGAAAGAAAGUAUGCCAAACCUGACCUAGAAUACCCAAUUUAAAAUCAACCAUAGACGCUCUUAGGUGAGGUGCUGCAAAGUGAUUUACAGACCUUGCUACAUUACGUUUCCAAACUUUGCAGAAUACAUAUUACUACAAUUUUUAAGUGAGAAAACUAAGACUGACAUAAAACUUUGUCAAGAGUCUGGAAUUAAACAAGGUCUGCCUGACUUGGAAACCAGUAUUUUUUUCCAGUGCACAACACCCCUUCCUUAAAUCUCUGAGGGAUACUACAUUCUGAAUUAAUACAAGCAGUAUCCAUCCACUGGCCCUAAUUUUCUCCCUUCAGUCCAUUAAUACAGUAUAUCUAGACUAUAAUUUUGUUUUCCCUGAGUCUUUAUUAUCUGGGCUUAAUGCUGAUUCUUCAGAAGUUUCUACAUGACAAAAUUUUAGGUCCCUUCACCCUCCAGAUCACUCCUCUGAAUAUAUUCAUUUGUUGAUAAUGCCCUUAAAGUUUGGCACUUAAGACAGAACUUGAUGCAGGGGAAGGGUGCUGUCAGCAGAGUGCCUCCCUAGUUCUAAAAAUUCUACAUCUUUCCUACUUUAUCUAUGAAGAGUUGACUUUUUGAACCCAAAGGCAGAAUCUGACUUAUUACUAUUGAAUUUCAAUUCAAUAAAAUUUAAUAAGCUGGAGUUUACCAUUCCUGACUAUUUGAAUCCUCAUUCUGCACACUGAGAAUGUUGCAAUUCCUACUAACUCCUUGCCGUCCACAAAUAUGAUAUGCAUGCCUUCUGUUUUUCAUCCCGGUCACUGGCAAAAUUGCAUUAAGUUUUAUCCUUUACUCCAGAAGGUGGCACUCAUAGGCCCUCCAUUUCAUAAAGAGCCUCAUACUUAAUAUGCCUCACUCUGUCCAGAGUCUGUCUGUUGGGAUAGCAGACUCAAGUGAGAUUUUGUCACACUUCAGGGGAAACCGUAGGUCAAACAUCAUCACUUUUUUUUUUUUUUUUUUUUUUUGAGACUCAGUCUCACUGUCACCCAGGCGAGAGUGCAGUGGCGCCGUCUCGGCUCACUGUGAUGUCUGCCUCUCAGGUUCAAGCAAUUCUCGUGCCUCAGCCUCUCGUGUAGCUGCAGUUACAGGCACACACCACCACCCCACCCAGCUAAUUUUUGGUUUUUUGUUUUUUUGUUUUUUGAGAUGGAGUUUUGCUCUUGUUGCCCAGGCUGGAGUGCAAUGGCGUGAUCUCGGCUCACGCAACCUCUGCCUCCCGGGUUCAAGCGAUUCUCCCGCCUCAGCCUCCUGAGUAGCUGGGAUUAUAGGCAUGCACCACCAUGCCCGGCUAAUUUUUGUAUUUUUAGUAGAGACAGGGUUUCUCCAUGUUGGUCAGGCUGGUCUUGAACUCCCAACCUCAGGUGAUCCGCCCCCCUCGGCCUCCCAAAGUGCUGG